GCUACACAUGACAGGUUGAUGGGCUACACAUGGCAGGUUGAUGGGCUACACAUGGCAGGUUGUUGGGCUACACAUGGCAGGUUGAUGGGCUACACAUGACAGGUUGAUGGGCUACACAUGGCAGGUUGUUGGGCUACACAUGACAGGUUGUUGGGCUACACAUGACAGGUUGAUGGGCUACACAUGACAGGUUGAUGGGCUACACAUGGCAGGUUGAUGGGCUACACAUGACAGGUUGUUGGGCUACACAUGGCAGGUUGAUGGGCUACACAUGGCAGGUUGAUGGGCUACACAUGACAGGUUGAUGGGCUACACAUGGCAGGUUGAUGGGCUACACAUGACAGGUUGUUGGGCUACACAUGACAGGUUGAUGGGCUACACAUGGCAGGUUGAUGGGCUACACAUGACAGGUUGAUGGGCUACACAUGGCAGGUUGUUGGGCUACACAUGGCAGGUUGUUGGGCUACACAUGACAGGUUGAUGGGCUACACAUGGCAGGUUGUUGGACUACACAUGGCAGGUUGAUGGGCUACACAUGACAGG